GGGAAGGUAAGGGGUAUAGAAUAGAAUAUCUCACCUGGUCAUGCAGUCUGUGGAACAGUGAUCCGUUGGGAAGGUAAGGGGUAUAGAAUAGAAUAUCUCACCUGGUCAUGCAGUCUGUGGAACAGUGAUCCAUUGGGAAGGUAAGGGGUAUAGAAUAGAAUAUCUCACCUGGUCAUGCAGUCUGUGGAACAGUGAUCCGUUGGGAAGGUAAGGGGUAUAGAAUAGAAUAUCUCACCUGGUCAUGCAGUCUGUGGAACAGUGAUCCGUUGGGAAGGUAAGGGGUAUAGAAUAGAAUAUCUCACCUGGUCAUGCAGUCUGUGGAACAGUGAUCCGUUGGGAAGGUAAGGGAUAUAGAAUAGAAUAUCUCACCUGGUCAUGCAGUCUGUGGAACAGUGAUCCAUUGGGAAGGUAAGGGGUAUAGAAUAGAAUAUCUCACCUGGUCAUGCAGUCUGUGGAACAGUGUUGGGAAGGUAAGGGGUAUAGAAUAGAAUAUCUCACCUGG